UACGUAGGGUGCGAGCGUUGUCCGGAAUUACUGGGCGUAAAGGCUCGUAGGCGGUCUGUCGCGUCGGUAGUGAAAACUCGAGGCUUAACCCUGAGCCUGCGUUCCGAUACGGGCAGACUAGAGGUAUGCAGGGGAGAAUGGAAUUCCUGGUGUAGCGGUGAAAUGCGCAGAUAUCAGGAGGAACACCGGUGGCGAAGGCGGGUCUCUGGGCCGAUACUGACGCUGAGGAGCGAAAGCGUGGGGAGCGAACAGG
rnacentral:rRNA from 1 species